GCCGGGAUGUUGGAAUUGGCAGACAACAGGGACUUAAAAUCCCUUGGGUGUUAUCACCUGUGCCGGUUCGAGUCCGGCUCCCGGCACCA
rnacentral:tRNA from 1 species